CCUAAGAUGGCGGCGUUUGACAAAUCAUUUAGUGAACGAACUUGACAAAUACAUUUUAGUAAGGAAUAUAAAACUCAUAAUGUAAUGACAAAGUGGAAUGGGUAGUUGCAAACUUGCUCUGCGGGUAUCUCUAAGAUCAUUGCGUCCCCUGUGCAGUUAAUAUGCCAUUCGGAUCCACAGGAAGUACAGCAAAUCCACUCACUGGCAGCUCCCUCGUCAGAUCGACAACCCGGUUCAUUGCUGUCCAAGCUUCAUGGGGGUUCUUUCAGUUGAUGUACAGAGGACACUUUGGCAAGCAAGGGGCUCAAGCAUUGUAGGCAAGAGAAAUAGAACUUGAGCCAGAUGCUGGACAUUUCUUGACCUCCCUCCUGUCUAGGUAGAAGUGACUGUUAAUGGAAUAGUUAUAUAGUUACCAGCAGAAUUGUUACUCAAGCCGAACACUUGAAACUAUACUGGCCCCAUCCUGUUUAGGUGGAAGUGACAGUGGUUGGGAUAGAUAUCUAGUGAGCAGCAGCCACGAAAUUCAAG